rnacentral:piRNA from 1 species
UGCCAUUUUCUCUCAGUUGUCUGCUGACCUC